GGCGGUAUGUAGCGUACUGUCUACUGACGCACAAGAAUCGUCUAAACUGAUUGGAAAUCAUGUGUGCGGUGAACUCCGUACCCAGGGUUCAAAUCCCUGACUCUCCGCCA
rnacentral:tRNA from 1 species